AAAUCUUUUAUUUUGUAUGCAUUGUAUUUUAUAUCUGAGCGUUCAGGUAUUGGCAAGGUAAUUGUAGAAUGAUUUACAAGUUUCCUGAAGCAGGAAUUUGAAUGACUGUGAGGCCAGUGUUUGGGAAUGUAACCCUCUGACUACUGUUCUCCACUUCUCCAUACGUUUUUUGACAAGAAACAGUUGCAUUUUAUUGAAGACAUCAUUCACUACAGUAUGGUGGUAUUAAAAUUUGAUGUUUUCAGUGGAAUCUGUAAGGAAAUAUUCUUAAAUAUCAGGUAUACCAUAUAAAUGAGACGAAAGUCAUAUAUAGAUUUGGGAGAAGCUUCUUUCUCAUCUUUGAGCCAGACCUUAGGACAUCCCUGCAGAAUCCCAGGGCUCCUUGGAACACAGUUUAAAGAUACAGAUUUGGAGAGUGCAAGAGUCUGGAAGAUAUAUCCUUCAUAAAUAUCAGGUGUCUAGUAUAUUUCUCUAGGUUAGAUUCCUAGAAUCACAUGGUCAAUCAUAUGAUUUUGCCCAUUGCCCUUCAAAACCCUCCUCACUGUGAAUGAUCUUGCUUUUUCAUUACUGCAUCUAUUAUGAAAUACAACCCCCCCCGCCACAUUUCCUAGUUUCUCAUCAUAGUUUUAAUUGCAUUUUUAUUGUUAGUGAAUUUAUUUCCCUUGUCUAUUUGCCAUUUGUAGUUCCUUUUAUCCUCUUCCUUCCCACCUGUUUUUAGCUGCAUUUUCAUGUUUGACCAUUUUUUAUUUACUCGAUACAUAUUUUUCUUUAGUUAUUGUUUAUAAGGAGGAUAAUUGCUUUGCAAUGUGCUGGUUUCUAUUGUACAACAAUGUCAGUGAGUCAUAAGUGAAAGUGUUAGUUGCUCUUUUGCGAUUCCAUGGACUCUAGCUUGCCAGGCAUCUACGUCCAUGGAUUUCUCCAGGCAAGAAUGCUGGAGUGGGUUGCCAUUCCCUUNNNNNNNNNNNNNNNNNNNNNNNNGGAUCGAACCUGGGUCUCCUGCUUUGCAGGCAGAUUCUUUACUGUCUGAGCCAGCAGGGAAGCCCACAUAUAUGUAUACCCCCUUGUUUUUGAGACCCCCUCUCCCCUCCCAUCCACUCCAACACAAGACGACCCUGUGUUAUAUAGCAGCUUCCACAUAUAAUUCCUUGUAUCUAGGUAUUAUGCUAAUGAAUGGAGCUCACAAACUAGUAAUAUUGUAG
rnacentral:lncRNA from 1 species